rnacentral:rRNA from 1 species
UAGGGAAUCUUCCACAAUGGACGCAAGUCUGAUGGAGCAACGCCGCGUGAGUGAAGAAGGUUUUCGGAUCGUAAAGCUCUGUUGUUGGGGAAGAAGGAUAGAGGCAGUAACUGGUCUUUAUUUGACGGUAAUCAACCAGAAAGUCACGGCUAACUACGUGCCAGCAGCCGCGGUAAUACGUAGGUGGCAAGCGUUGUCCGGAUUUAUUGGGCGUAAAGCGAGCGCAGGCGGAAUGAUAAGUCUGAUGUGAAAGCCCACGGCUCACCCGUGGAACUGCAUCGGAAACUGUCAUUCUUGAGUGCAGAAGAGGAGAGUGGAAUUCCAUGUGUAGCGGUGGAAUGCGUAGAUAUAUGGAAGAACACCAGUGGCGAAGGCGGCUCUCUGGUCUGCAACUGACGCUGAGGCUCGAAAGCAUGGGUAGCGAACAGG